rnacentral:rRNA from 1 species
UCGGGAAUAUUGCGCAAUGGAGGAAACUCUGACGCAGUGACGCCGCGUGCAGGAAGAAGGUUUUCGGAUUGUAAACUGCUUUAGACAGGGAAGAAACAAGACAGUACCUGUAGAAUAAGCUCCGGCUAACUACGUGCCAGCAGCCGCGGUAAUACGUAGGGAGCAAGCGUUAUCCGGAUUUAUUGGGUGUAAAGGGUGCGUAGACGGGAGAGCAAGUUAGUUGUGAAAUCCCUCGGCUUAACCGAGGAACUGCAACUAAAACUACUUUUCUUGAGUGCUGGAGAGGAAAGUGGAAUUCCUAGUGUAGCGGUGAAAUGCGUAGAUAUUAGGAGGAACACCAGUGGCGAAGGCGACUUUCUGGACAGUAACUGACGUUGAGGCACGAAAGUGUGGGGAGCAAACAGGAUUAGAUACC